UACGGGGGAGCAAGCGUUGUUCGGAUUUACUGGGCGUAAAGCGUGCGCAGGCGGCUUUGCAAGACAGAUGUGAAAUCCCCGGGCUUAACCUGGGAACUGCAUUUGUGACUGCAUGGCUGGAGUGCGGCAGAGGGGGAUGGAAUUCCGCGUGUAGCAGUGAAAUGCGCAGAUAUCGGGAGGAACACCAAUUGCGAAGGCAGCUCGCUGGGACGUCACUGACGCUGAGACGCGAAAGCGUGGGGAGCAAACAGG
rnacentral:rRNA from 1 species